rnacentral:rRNA from 1 species
UGGGGAAUAUUGCACAAUGGGCGCAAGCCUGAUGCAGCCAUGCCGCGUGUAUGAAGAAGGCCUUCGGGUUGUAAAGUACUUUCAGCGGGGAGGAAGGGAGUAAAGUUAAUACCUUUGCUCAUUGACGUUACCCGCAGAAGAAGCACCGGCUAACUCCGUGCCAGCAGCCGCGGUAAUACGGAGGGUGCAAGCGUUAAUCGGAAUUACUGGGCGUAAAGCGCACGCAGGCGGUUUGUUAAGUCAGAUGUGAAAUCCCCGGGCUCAACCUGGGAACUGCAUCUGAGACUGGCAAGCUUGAGUCUCGUAGAGGGGGGUAGAAUUCCAGGUGUGGCGGUGAAAUGCGUAGAGAUAUGGAGGAAUACCGGUGGCGAAGGCGGCCCCCUGGACGAAGACUGACGCUCAGGUGCGAAAGCGUGGGGAGCAAACAGG